rnacentral:tRNA from 1 species
GCAGGUAUGGCGGAAUUGGCAGACGCGCACGGUUCAGGUCCGUGUGAAAGUGAUUUCAUGGAGGUUCGACUCCUCUUACCUGCACCA